GACGCAGAAGUUUACCAUCCUCCGCAGUUCUCUACCUUCACAGGAGGGAGCCGAGUCAGCAGUGACUGACCCCCAGAGCACAUUUGAAGAAACAGGACAGGAGAGAGGGGGAGGUUGAGCAGCUGAAGAAAAACAAUUCUUUACCCUGCUGAAAAGAUUCACACAGGAUAAAAGGUGUUUUAAAAAAGAAAAGGAAACUAACAUGAAUUUUGACUUUUGAUGCCCUCAGAGACAGCAGUAGUGACGUGUCAUGCUCAGCCAUUCGGAGGCCAAAACAGGAGGACGGGUGAAAAAUCCUGGGAGAAGCAGGCCACCCAGGGGACCCCAGCAGCAGUUGGAAAUGGCAUCUAUGGCGCUCUGAACCCUGACAACCCACAACGAGGUGCCCAACAGCAGAAUGUACAGACCAAGAGGCAGAGGGUCUGGAGGAAAAAUGAACAGUACCCAUGACCACUCCAAGCCCUCCUCCACCGUGGCGAGGACCACAGGGCAAGUCGGACAACACCACUUGAUGCAGGAGCCAUUGUCUUUUUCAAGCUCAAAGAUGGUGGAACAUUCAUGCGUGCAUUCACCAAACACGCCUGUGAAUCUGUUGGGACGGGACAGUCUUGUCAAAACAGGAGACAGCAGACUGGAUGCCAUGCCGGACACCACAGCCGACCCCCACUGCAGACAUGUAAAGGGCCCUGAAACGCCAGGUGGUUUCGUUAAUUUCAGGUUUGAAGCCUGGACUCCUGUGUUUGAAGCCUCCGAAUGGUCUGACAUGUACACUCCAUUAUGACAGAGAGCAUGAUUAACAGUAAGAAGUAUUUCAGCAGGUAGAAGACCACACGUGGCAUUUGAACUACACUGACAUAUAUUAACCCUGAGGGCGAGCGGCUUAUUGUGCAUUCAUACACUCACAAAUGCAAUGAUACUAGCUGUCAGACACAGCUGUAUCUCACAUAGGAUUAGACUAAGCAGGACAUUAACAACACAUUGGUUAAAUUGUGUUUUUUCAGGUGUUCACUUUCCUCCCUCAAUAAAAAUGUACAGGUUAAUUUUGCCGUUCAACAACUGAGCAGAGAGGAGACGGCUCAUGAAGAUGCAGAGGUGAUGUUAAAACGCUCUCUGAUGCUUCAUGGUCCACAGGUUCAGUUGAUGUUGGUUCAUUCUUCAUCGUCCCCCCGGUGGUGAUUCAGGUAACUGCAGGAGCACAGAUUUUUAGAUCUCAGUGCAGCUGAUUGAAAGAUGCAGAUGAAGGAAACUCAGUCUGGGCUGUAGAACUAUAGUGUCAUUGAAUAUUCGUAUUCUUCAUGGUGUACUUCUUUGAAACCGGUUUUAAAAGUAGAUGGAUUGCAUAUGAUUUAAGCUAAUGUUAAUUUGAGUUGAUGACGUCACCAUUAUUAUAAAACCUAUACGUCCCUGAUCCAUAUUGCAUGCUGUCACCUUUAACCUCACAAGGUGUGUUGUUUGUUGCUAUUGACUUAGCACACGUUUUCUUUUAAUGGAAUCAUUACAUAAAAAUAGCAGACAAUUAUUUACAUUUUAGUACAGAGGGGUUCAUAAAAUCCUUCUUGCAUUUUUGAUCACUGUUUAAAGUCUCUCUGACAGAACAUUAUGCUAUAAGAGGUUUGUGUUUUGCUAAUACAGGUUGAUGACAUCUGCCUGCAAUUAAUGAAAGAUCUUCUGUUGCAGUUGUAUUAUUUCUUCUUGUGACCUUGCCUUUUACAGGAACGUGGACAGGACGCCUCUUCACCUUAUCGAUGCACCAAACAGUUUAUUGUUUUCAUGAUUUUGCUUUACAUUUAAUUCGUUUUGUGUUUGUGUCCUGGGGUUUAACCCCAGGCCAAGAGAGGGAGGUAGACAAAAGAGGUCUUAAUGAUUAAAAGAAGGACAUUAUUUUAUCAUUAUCGUUUAAAUGUAUUUGUCUAGAAAGAAUGUUUAAAUAGUAACACAGAUUGACCAUUUAGAAAGAAUGUUUAAAUAGUAACACAGAUUGACCAUUUUUAAAAUUUUAAAGCUUUGUGUGUCUGUUCAUCUGAUUUUCUCUCAUCCACAGCAAGGAUGAGUAGGUUCUACGACUGGGUCAUUAGACAACAGCCCAUAAUAAACUUUUUUCUUUUUCUUGAAUUUGUAUUUUCCCCACUUGUGUUCUUCAUAAAACAGCACGAGGGGAAGCAGACCUUUGAGAAGAGAAAUGUGGUGGACCUUUUCCAUCAUAUUCUCUCUUACUGCGCAUGCGUAAAUUGAUUCUUGUCUCAUUGUCUUUUGUGUUUUAUUGUUUUUUAUUUUUUAUUUUUUAAUUUCCUGACCCUAACACUAACAAAAACUUAGACCCACAGCAGAAUCAUCUUGGCUGAACAGUACCACAGCAGUGGACACCCCAAGUCCUUUUGCAGCCGUUCUGUUGUAUCACCAUGUGUCACAUCUCUAAUAACAGGCUUAUUGAGAAGUCCAUAGGAGGCCAGGUCCAAGCUUGCCAGAGCUUGUGGGACAUGCAGAAGGAGGACGCGAGUGUUCGAGGCCCGGAAUGACCUUUUUUGGACUUUGUUACAUUUUAUAAAAUUGCUUACUGUUAUGUUUGACAAUUUU